rnacentral:misc_RNA from 1 species
CUGAUAAAAAGGAAUGUAAGAAUGAGAGUGAUGGGAUAAAAAUCAGACGCCAACCAUCUUGAAAAGAAUGAAGCAGAGGAAUCCAAGGAAGAUAAAGAGGAAUAAAUAAUCCACAAAAACGAAGAAAUUGGUUGACCCAUGAUUUCUUUUCUUCUUCUUAUUGUUGAUAUUGGGCUGCUUCGGUUCAUCGGCUAGCGGUUCAAGUUUGGCCAUUGCGUCAAAAUUGGUGGUUUGUCAGGGAUCUCUAGGGUUCCAAGAUCAGAUCUUGGAGAUCUG